GGCAUACUAGCAUUGUGAUUAAGUGCAUGUGGACUGUAACCACAUUACCUGGGUUCAAAUCCUGGCCUUGCCA
rnacentral:tRNA from 1 species